GUGCUCGCUUUGGCAGCACAUAUACUAAAAUUGGAAUGAUACAGAGAUUAGCAUGGCCCCUGCACAAGGAUGAUACACAAGUUUGUGAAGCAUUCCAUAUUUUU
ensembl:snRNA U6 U6 spliceosomal RNA